rnacentral:rRNA from 1 species
UACGUAGGGUGCGAGCGUUAAUCGGAAUUACUGGGCGUAAAGCGUGCGCAGGCGGUUCGCCAAGUCAGGUGUGAAAUCCCCGGGCUUAACCUGGGAAUUGCGCUUGAAACUAGCGGGCUUGAGUGUGGCAGAGGGGGGUGGAAUUCCUCGUGUAGCAGUGAAAUGCGUAGAGAUGUGGAGGAACACCGAUGGCGAAGGCAGCCCCCUGGGUCAACACUGACGCUCAUGCACGAAAGCGUGGGGAGCAAACAGG